UACGGAGGGCGCAAGCGUUGUUCGGAAUUACUGGGCGUAAAGCGCGUGUAGGCGGCCAGGUAAGUCGGAUGUGAAAUCCCGGGGCCCAACCCCGGAACUGCACUCGAUACUGCCUGGCUGGAGUCCCGGAGAGGAUGGCGGAAUUUCCGGUGUAGAGGUGAAAUUCGUAGAGAUCGGAAGGAACACCAGUGGCGAAGGCGGCCAUCUGGACGGUGACUGACGAUGAGACGCGAAAGAGUGGGGAGCAAACAGG
rnacentral:rRNA from 1 species